CUUCCUUCAACCACCCUGAACACAGAUCUCAAUAGAUUUCAGAAGCUAAGCAGGGUCAGCUAGGUUAGGACUUGGUAGAACAACCACCAGGGAUCUCCAUGUAGGGCUAAGC
rnacentral:rRNA from 1 species